UCAUCUCCUGGGGCCAGAUUUCGCAGAUGACUUCGGGUUCAUGCCGGCAGUUGGCACCAGGUGAUGAAGGUCAGACUUCGACAAUGUCCUUUUUAGGGGACUUGUGUUUAGGGGAGAAUGACAUGUGUGUGUCGGCGACUUCGUCGGUUUACAGACAAGGGAGGCAAAGAUUUACCCAGGUUCGGAACCCUCGGAAGGUAAUAUCCCUACGUCCUGCUCGUCUGUACUUUAUUGAGACUUCGGUUACAAGGGUUGCCGGCGAGAUCUGAAGUGCGUCUCGACGGCUCGAAAGUAAGGGCUGAGAGAGAGAGAGAGAGAGAGUAGAUCGGAUAUCCCUUGGCUCCCCUUUCUUGUCCUUUAUAUACACAGGAAGUUAGGUCUUGGGUAGAGUCCAAGUAAUUUACAAGUUAAAAGAUAGAAUAAGACUAUAAUUUCCUAUACUUUCUUGUUCUUCGAGUCGUAGGAUUUGGUAUGAGACUUUUGGAAUUGUAGUAGACUUCGUGCGGGCCCCAUGUUAGGCGGAUGGGGUAUCCUCCCGUAGGAUACGUGGUUAGUCAUAACCACGUCAGUAGCACCCAAGUGCUUAGUUGAAUUAAGAAUUCAACUAAGGACUUAAGAUGCAAAGCUUGAAUCAUCAUGAACAGAACCUGUCGAGGUUUAAUAACAUUGAAUAUAUUUAUCGACUCAAAAGUUCUUUGAGUCGAAUCCAAAUCCUGAAAUAAGAAUUCAAUCCUGCAGUGCUUUUAAGCCAAGCAUACAAUAUCAGUUUAAGAUGGAAGAUGUAAAAGUAAGUUUCUGACUCAGUAAUCACGUCGAGUCGAAACCUUGAUAAAGAUUUGUCGAUCAAAUCAACAAACAGACAGUGAUUUCAUAAAGGAUUAAAAUAUCAGCAGCACGAGCUGAUAAUCAGAAUUUCGCAAAGAAGCAUUCAACUCAUAAUGAAUCAAGAUACAGAGUAUGUAUGCGAUGCGAUGAGAUGCAUAUGAAAUGCGUAUGAUUGACUCACUGCGAGUCAAGUCGACAUAUAUUAAAUAGCUCAAUAGAAUUACAUAAGUGUAGACUGCCUGGGAAGGUCUUACGGAGUCAUAUUUGAAUUAAAACAUCUGAUACUAUGAUCAGAAAAUUGAACAGAAUGGAAGAAGGCCAGUCUGAUGGAGGAAGGAAGGAUGGAAGCAGUCUCUCGCGGAUCUCCGAUCGACGCGUGAUGCAUCCGCGAAGAUAUCCUUGCAUUGCGGCGACACACUGGACGACACUGAAGCCCCGACAACCCAUGCCGAGAUUCUCUUCGGCACGCACUUCUUGCGAGCGUGCACUCAGGAACGUCUCGAGACGAAGCCAACACAAGACUCUCUGCAGUCCAGGCAAACCACUACCCUUGAACAAAACGACCUCGUCUGCAAUGCUACAAGUAAUAACCUGACCGGUGGCUGGAAACAUCCUAUCUGUAUCAGUGCGUCUGGCCAACGUGACUGUGAUCCUCGGUCAUCAAUCCAGCCAAUGCUCGACGCCUCGCCGAGUACAAAAUUUUCACAAAGUGGACACGAAAGGACGCACAACUUUUUCAGCAGCAAAACAAAAUGUGCGGUAGACACGGGUUACACGAGUUAUAUCUUUAUCUUUAUUACUAUUUAAUUUGCAGUUUGAUACGAACCUACGUUGGUCCGUCCCUCCUUCGGCCAGCAGCAACCACGACCCUCACGCGUGCUUACUCAAAUCAAAACAUCAAUCAACGCCGGAAUUUACUCCGCACUCGACCUUCCAGUUAUCUCCACUGCCGCGAUUAUCUUCAGUCACCAGAUUACCUGCCUUCUUCCUCUGCUCUCCAGACCGCGGUGGCAAAUUUGCAAAUUUCGUGCGCCACCGUUCUCCCCUCACCGCACGCAAAUCUUUCAAUCCUAUCCCUAGCGGCGAACGACGAUGACGGCUGCCGCUGCCUGCUGGCCACAGCCGAGGCCGCGCUCGGCAGGGGCUGGACCGGGCCGCUGGACAUAGACGGCGUCUCUCGCGCAGAUGCCUUCGGCCGCUCCUCCUUUCCUCACACAAAGCAACGGCGGGACGACGACGACAAUGGCCGCCGCCGCCGCCUCCCACCUCCGUCGCACCCGCGGCGCCGAGUGCCUCGUCGGCGACCACCCGGCACCGUCCUCUUCACCGCCUGCAACCCCCAGAUUGUAGCCACCGUGGACACAAUCAACACCACACCGAGGAGAUUACAAGGUGAGCUCUAAAAAACACGGCUUCAUCUUUCUACACCAUGUUCUUCUGUUGCUCACUGCUCUUGAUGCCCCAUAAGCCCAUCAUGUGCAUGGUGCUUUCUAAACUCCAGGCUGCUUCUGAGGCAAGGAGUAGCACACUACUGGCUGCCUCUUCAUAUAUUAUCAAAUUCUCUCUCAAAAAGAUUUUGAUAUGUUAUGUUAAUUUGCCUUGUUUAGAAGACUUAAGAAGAGGCGAGGAAAUUUGUGUAUCAAAAUGGUGUUGUUAGAAGUUGAAUCUGGAGGAUUACAUAUUAUUGAGGAGUCUCAAAUCCUGCUCUGAUAUAGCUCAGGUUAGAAAAUAUCAUACUUCACGUAGUGUAACAACUGGCCUGGGAAGUAUGCAGUAUUUGUAUAUUAUGGUACAUGUAGUGGUUCUCAGGUAAUUUAUAUAUGCAACACCUCCAAUGUCAAUUGUCUGCACUAAAUCGUUGUUGCAUGCAAAUUUGGUUAUGGCUAUGGAUCAGGUAAUGACACAAUCUGUAAGUGCUACUCAUGGUGGUGGUUUCUGUUUUGCUCAUGUUGUUUAAGCAAAAUCAAAGUUAUUUCGUGAUACAAAAUAUCCUUCUACGGAAUUAGCUUCUGGAUAUGUUAUUUUUAAUGUAGAUGUAGUAAAUAUCGUGUACAUGUAUUAGAAGUGGAACAUCAUAGAGGAAUGCUGGCAGCAGGUUACAGGUUUGGUGUGGCUUAUUCUUUUUAGAAUAAGAUUUUAAUGCAUCUCUUGUUUCGAGUUGAAUGCCUUGGGAAUAUCAAUGGUUCCUAGAUGCCCCCAUUGUAUUUUUGCAUCAUGCGAACAUCUUUGGAACAUACAUAUUUUAGCUUCUACAGUAUGUUUUCUGCUAUUUUGAGUUUUUGUUGUUGGAAUUGAGGAAAAACAACAGUUGGUUGAUAUUCAUCACAAUUUUCAUUUUGAAUUCCUGCUUUUAAAGUUCCUUUUUUACUAGCCAUAGCAGUUCAACUGUUUAAGAUCCUUUUUACUGGCCAUAGCAGAUCUGGUAGAUCUAAAAAUAAUCACCAUCUGUUUGUAGGUUAAAGCUUUAUGGCUGGCUUGGUCCUACAAUUGAAAAGAUGAGCCACGGCAGCAAGGGAGUACAUGUUUGUUCUUUUGCUUGAUUGGUCAGGUGAGGUAGGGAAGCGGAAUUGAGCUUGAAGCGAAGUUGAUGAACACUAUUGACGAUGUAGAAUGUUGGCCACAAAUUUCAUUAACAUGGCCUCAUAUUAGGUGUACUUUUUCGUUGCAACGCACGGACACUUUGCUAGUAGAAUAAUAUUUUACAGACCCAAAAAACUUAACCAAGUCACCUAACAAGGCCACACGGACAACACGGUGUCCAAAGAGCUGACCGCCAAAAAAAAGGGAAAGGACAGCCCCUGAUCUUGACGUAAAACUUAAGUGGGAGCGACGUACCCAUCAACUACGAGGCGGCGGUGGUGACUUCGUCAAUCUCGGAGAUGCUCAUAGGGGUAGGGUGUGCGUGCGUGCGUUCAUAUUGGUGAGUGUGUGUGCUUGUUUGUGAGCGUCUACGUCUGCAGUGUGUUUCUCAAAAAAAGAAUUGCAUUGUUUUUGGAAUGGAGGGAUAAGAUUUUUUUUUUCGAAGAACGAAGGGAUUAGGUUUUUUUUUCUGAGAAAAUGGAGUGAUUAGAUGGAUGCGGUCCAUAGACCGUAUGUUUUGGGCUUUCUGUCACAUUGAUGGGCUUCUAAGCCUUGGGGCGUCCACACUUUGGCGCAUCUAUAAAAGCUAGCUCGUCGGCCUUUUCUCAAAAAAAGAAAAAAAGCUAGCUCGUUCUGCCCUUUACGGCGCAGCGGCUUAGACCUAGGGCUUCCUCCCCCAUCUGUUACGCCGCCGCUGCGAACACGAAGGCGGCCGAUCCUCCUUCUCCUCGUUUGCAUCUCCCGCUGGUCCUUUGCCAGUGGCAUGUCUUCAUGGAAUUAUCGGGAUCACCCAGCGGCCUUCGUUGCGUGCAGCAGUACGCGCCGGCGGCGGAAGGUUUCAUCCUCGUGGGCGUCCCUGGACGAGGAUUUGGUGAGCCUAAUCGGAUGGCGAGUGCUAGCCGGCGACUUCCGGGAUUACAUCCGCUUCCGAGCAGAGGACGCAGUGAUCCUUAAAAAGGGGCAGCCGGACGAUGACGAAGGCACCAGUUGAGAGGUUGAAGAAUCGGACGUAGCCGCGGAGCUUGCCGUGGCCUGGGUAGAGGCCGCGGCCCUCGGGCAGCAGCAUCCACCGGCGAGGGUAGAAGCGUGGGUCAAGGAUGCCGCGGCCGCGCGGGCAAGUAGUGCUGGACCGCCAGUGGGGACACAGCCCCCGGAGAAACCACCGCAUCUGAAUCCCCUUGUUUGGAUAGCCGGGUAUCCCAUCAGGUGUUGUAGAUUACAGGGAGGACGCCCGCAGGAUCAAGGCGGGGCAUAGACAGGAGCUGUUGCUCGAUCUGACGUGGGUCCUCGCGGCAGCAGGGCGUCGUCGAGUGCAAGGAGCGUUGGACGGGGGCGCUGGUGAGCCCAGGGCUGAAGGAGAACACCGCGAGCAGCUCGUGCGCAUGGCUAUGGAGGAGGAGCGCGAGGAACUGCGCAUGGUGCAGGAUGACGACGCAGCCUUGAGCACGAGCGAGGCGGCGGACAAGCGCGCCGGCGGUGAUGGUCAGAUGGACCUCUUCUCGCCGGCAGCACCUGGCAUGGCGGGGAAAAAGCGACCCCGUCUGGCUCACUGCGUUCCAAGUGUCCAUCCCAUCUCCACUGCUUAAACCAUUGCUUCCCCUACCUUGCGCCCCGCGUGGGUUGUUCAGGGGAUAAACCUGCUUGAGGAUUUCCUGUAAAAUAGUAGCUUGUUGAGUUGACAGUUGUUGGUAGGCGGAGGUGUUGUUCGGGUCACUGAAUACAGUGAGCGGUGCUACUUUAUGGGCUAAACUGUGCGAUGUAUACAUUCGUUAAUUUACUUAAUUAUCUUUCUGCUUCAUAUUAAUGCACGAAGCAAUAUCAUUUGCUGGUUCCUUCUGAGUGUGCAGGUUUCAUGGUCUGGUUCAUCUCACUCAGCUGCGGAAAGAACACUGCCACUCCAGGUAAAAGUUGGUGAAUGGGAAAUUGACAAAAGACUUCUGAAGAUGAGAGAUUAUUGCUUCUGGUUCUUGUUGAGACUUGUGAGUCAGUUGUGUAGCACUGAGUUCUUUAGUCUAUGUGUUCAUGUUCAGUACUACUCCGCUCCAUAAUUCUUGUCUCAAAUUUGUCCAAAAAUUGAUGCAUCUAUUCCUAAAAACCGUCUAGAUACAUGUAAGAUUUUGACAAGAAUUAUGAAACGGAGGUAGUACUUCCUUUCUAAAGUGUGUUAUGCUUAUGUGAAGGUUUCAUGGGACUUACUUCGGCAAGGAUGUUGCCAUUAAAGUUUUAAAGCUGAGCAUUUGAAUAAGAAUGUUUGUAACGAGAUUACACGAGAAGUAUAUAUUCUAAGGUAUUGACAUUAAGCAUUUAUAAGACUGUCGUAGUUAUAUGAUGUUCUUGAAUGUCCUAACCUCCUCUUAUAAUUUGGUUAAAGAAAUUUAAUUGCCGUCGUCUAUAGAAAUUUAAGCACAUUUGUUUGACUGGAUUGUUGAGCAAAUUUACCGCUCACUUGGAACAGGAAGACAACAUACACGGAGAUCCAUAAGUAUUUUAGAUAUUCAUGGUUUCAAAUCUUUCAAUAUAUGGGGUUUGUUGCAUUUUUUAUAUCGAUUUCGCUUGUCUGUUCCUCAUAACAUUUAAUUUUAGCACUCCAGAAAAAUGGCUUUGAGCAAUUCUGUACAAAUUAUGCCAAUGAAAGGCUACAAACCAUUUUAACCGACAUAUUUUCAAACUAGAACAUGAGGUAAGAUUCUGACACUUCUAAGUUAUUUAUUAGUUUUUAUUUAAAAGGUGCAAACUGUUAUAAACUAUCACAUACACAUUCUUUCUGGUAAACUUGUGUGACGAUAGAUUGGCUUUCCUUGCUUGUUUGCUAAAGAUAUAAAGGCUCUACUAGCUUCCUAACUUCUUUAUAGCUGGGGCAUUUUGUCAGAUGCUGAGGUUGAUUUUGCGAUCCCCCAAGCUAGAUGUGCAGCUUUAAUGCAAUUCCAGUAUCCUUCCCUGAACAAAACUGAGUUGAUGUCAAAGUACUCGCUGCUAGGCUAAAAUCAUUAAUGGUAUUAGGCUGUGACUGGUUAGUGAACUUUCUUUUCACUACUGCGACAACAAGUAGAACAUACUAAUCCUUUUUCUAUGGUAUUUAGAGGAAAUGUCAAAUUUCUAUGUGCCUAUGUUUUACAUACUGAACAGAAGAAACAAGCUGCUACAGAUGUUCACUUCCACUAUUCGCAGUUUGUGAUGGUGUGCAUUGGCAGGGAGAUCGCCCAGCUGAUCUCAGGUUGCACCAUAUGAAGGUUUAUUUAUUAUCCUGUAAAUUGGGGUUUCUAGAUCUUGCACUUCUGUUACCACCAUUUAAUGUUUCCCCUAAGCAUGAGCCAGUGUUCCGUUCACCAAUCAAUCAUUCCUCCUUCCCUGUAAAACAAUAUCCAUUUUUUCAUCAAGUACUGUCAAUCAAUUAUGUUCAAGUACUAUCGAUUAAUCAAUUGUUAGAUCCUCACAAGUUGUCUCUCGCAUCAUUGGUAAUAAUGCAGGAUCGCGGCAAGCAAGUGCACCUAGGUGAGCAAACUAAAUCUGAUUAUUUCGUAUACUAAAUUUUUUGAUAUUAUAGUGUUCUGAUGUGAAAAAAAAAUCUGAUCCAUGGAUUUUUUUUCCAACCAAAUCAAAACCUGCAGCUUUUUAUGUUGUCGAGGUAUUAUUAGCUUCAUGAAGACUUAAUUCUUUUUAUAAAUUUCUCUAUAUUUCUUGUUUAUUGGAUGUUGCUCUUUCCUGUUGUUAAAAGAAAUUGCAGACGAUGUAGUCUACCAGAGAAAUGUUGGAUGCAGUUUUUUGUUCUACUUUGACCAUUUUGCUUGAAUGAUUUUACAUGUCUACCAUUGUACAUAUUGGUACAUCUCAUGAAGAAGCCAGGAUUCCCAUGACAUUGUCACUUACUAAACAACUUGUUAUAGGGCCUCCUUGUUCAGUAUUGAAUAAAUUGACUCCAUUCUGUUCUUAUUGCUUCACUAGCUUCACAAUAGAACUUGUUGCAGUUACAUUAGUCUGAUUUCUGCAGCAUAAAACAAAAUGCUAUAAUUUGAAAAACCACAAAAAUCAUUAUAAUUAAAGCAUGGUUGUUGUUGCUGUAAGACAUCAUACAUGGAGAGGAUCGGCUCUUUAGCAUACCUUUUAUGUCAAUUUUUCACCUCUUACAGGAUGAAUAAAGAAGAUUCUCAUCUCCAUAUAUUGACAUUUCCUUCUCUUGUACGUGUAUGAUGUAUCUUUAUUCUAAGGUCUGUUAUGUAGAUUUGGGUCUUUGAUAUAAGGUUUUAGUCAUGGGGCCUCGUAGAGUCGUAGUUAAAUCAUGGGAAACUGAUCAUGGAGAUCUACCUUCUUCAUGGAACAGUUUAAAGUUUUACAUUUGGGCUUGUGUUUCUUGUGUCCUGUACAACUUCAGUUUAACAUCACAUAACUUUUCUAUUAAUAAUGCCAUUUUUAACUUUUUUGACCGAAUGCCAUUUUUAACUGCACUAGGAGUAGACUUGAUGUCGAGAAUCUGAAAGAAUCAAGGCAUUAAUGCUAUUUUGGAUCAUGUAAUUCACCACAUGUUUUUAGUUUAGCAGAGCUGUUGUCGUGUCAGUAUCCAAAAUCGGCAAUGGAAGUUAUUCUUGACAUGUUUCCUGAUGCUUGGAAUGAGCUUUUUGCUAAUUGUUUUUCCACGAAUUGGUGAGUCACAUUUCAUUAGCUUACAAUAGAGUGAACUGAAGCGUCUAAUUCUUUUUAAGUAUAUUGAUGCCUUAUUUUCAUUGCUAAGUUGCUUGUUUCACUUAAAACUUAUUUCCCAUUUUUCUGUUUAAUUUUCUAUCAGAUAUCAUUUGUGUCAGUGUCCAGUUCGUUUUUUUAAGUUGCUCAUGGCAUCUUCGUUUCUCAGUUGGAACCACUUGCAUACAGAAGUAUGGACUGCCUUUGAAGAAUUCUGUCCUGCAGCAAUCAACCCUUACCAGCUCAAGGCUAUGGAAACGUAGGACGAGAUUGCUGCAGCAGCUUUUCAACAGUUUGAACAAGAGGGCAACUGAGUCAUUCAGUUGAGGAGUUGGCAUAGGAAUGAAAUCUUGCUCCAACUCGUUAGUCCGUUGUGCAAGACUGGAUCAGCAAAACAGAUGGCAAACAAAACUUUCUUGGGUUUACCAAAUUUUUACAUUGUGUCACUACAUGGGACCCAAACACAAGAUGUCAUUAAGUGACCAUGAAAAAAAAGUAUUUGGUUCAAAUUUUAAAGCUGCUCAUUAUAUGGCUCUGAAUUGUUGUUGCCCCCUAUUUGUUUGUGAUGUUGCUGGUUGUUGUCACCAUAGUUUUCGUACAAAUAAUACAUGUAAAGAUGUUUUGUGUAAUGAAGGCGAUCUAGACCAGCCAGAAAUUUAUAUAAUUGUAAAUUAUAACUGUUAUGUCUAUUCACUCCGUGAUCA